rnacentral:rRNA from 1 species
UUAAGCGACUAAGCGUACACGGUGGAUGCCCUGGCAGUCAGAGGCGAUGAAGGACGUGCUAAUCUGCGAUAAGCGUCGGUAAGGUGAUAUGAACCGUUAUAACCGGCGAUUUCCGAAUGGGGAAACCCAGUGUGAUUCGUCACACUAUCAUUAACUGAAUCCAUAGGUUAAUGAGGCGAACCGGGGGAACUGAAACAUCUAAGUACCCCGAGGAAAAGAAAUCAACCGAGAUUCCCCCAGUAGCGGCGAGCGAACGGGGAGCAGCCCAGAGCCUGAAUCAGUGUGUGUGUUAGUGGAAGCGUCUGGAAAGGCGUGCGAUACAGGGUGACAGCCCCGUACACAAAAAUGCACAUGCUGUGAGCUCGAUGAGUAGGGCGGGACACGUGGUAUCCUGUCUGAAUAUGGGGGGACCAUCCUCCAAGGCUAAAUACUCCUGACUGACCGAUAGUGAACCAGUACCGUGAGGGAAAGGCGAAAAGAACCCCGGCGAGGGGAGUGAAAAAGAACCUGAAACCGUGUACGUACAAGCAGUGGGAGCACAGAGCAAUCUGUGUGACUGCGUACCUUUUGUAUAAUGGGUCAGCGACUUAUAUUCUGUAGCAAGGUUAACCGAAUAGGGGAGCCGAAGGGAAACCGAGUCUUAACUGGGCGUUAAGUUGCAGGGUAUAGACCCGAAACCCGGUGAUCUAGCCAUGGGCAGGUUGAAGGUUGGGUAACACUAACUGGAGGACCGAACCGACUAAUGUUGAAAAAUUAGCGGAUGACUUGUGGCUGGGGGUGAAAGGCCAAUCAAACCGGGAGAUAGCUGGUUCUCCCCGAAAGCUAUUUAGGUAGCGCCUCGUGAAUUCAUCUCCGGGGGUAGAGCACUGUUUCGGCAAGGGGGUCAUCCCGACUUACCAACCCGAUGCAAACUGCGAAUACCGGAGAAUGUUAUCACGGGAGACACACGGCGGGUGCUAACGUCCGUCGUGAAGAGGGAAACAACCCAGACCGCCAGCUAAGGUCCCAAAGUCAUGGUUAAGUGGGAAACGAUGUGGGAAGGCCCAGACAGCCAGGAUGUUGGCUUAGAAGCAGCCAUCAUUUAAAGAAAGCGUAAUAGCUCACUGGUCGAGUCGGCCUGCGCGGAAGAUGUAACGGGGCUAAACCAUGCACCGAAGCUGCGGCAGCGACACUAUGUGUUGUUGGGUAGGGGAGCGUUCUGUAAGCCUGUGAAGGUGUACUGUGAGGUAUGCUGGAGGUAUCAGAAGUGCGAAUGCUGACAUAAGUAACGAUAAAGCGGGUGAAAAGCCCGCUCGCCGGAAGACCAAGGGUUCCUGUCCAACGUUAAUCGGGGCAGGGUGAGUCGACCCCUAAGGCGAGGCCGAAAGGCGUAGUCGAUGGGAAACAGGUUAAUAUUCCUGUACUUGGUGUUACUGCGAAGGGGGGACGGAGAAGGCUAUGUUGGCCGGGCGACGGUUGUCCCGGUUUAAGCGUGUAGGCUGGUUUUCCAGGCAAAUCCGGAAAAUCAAGGCUGAGGCGUGAUGACGAGGCACUACGGUGCUGAAGCAACAAAUGCCCUGCUUCCAGGAAAAGCCUCUAAGCAUCAGGUAACAUCAAAUCGUACCCCAAACCGACACAGGUGGUCAGGUAGAGAAUACCAAGGCGCUUGAGAGAACUCGGGUGAAGGAACUAGGCAAAAUGGUGCCGUAACUUCGGGAGAAGGCACGCUGAUAUGUAGGUGAAGUCCCUCGCGGAUGGAGCUGAAAUCAGUCGAAGAUACCAGCUGGCUGCAACUGUUUAUUAAAAACACAGCACUGUGCAAACACGAAAGUGGACGUAUACGGUGUGACGCCUGCCCGGUGCCGGAAGGUUAAUUGAUGGGGUCAGCGCAAGCGAAGCUCUUGAUCGAAGCCCCGGUAAACGGCGGCCGUAACUAUAACGGUCCUAAGGUAGCGAAAUUCCUUGUCGGGUAAGUUCCGACCUGCACGAAUGGCGUAAUGAUGGCCAGGCUGUCUCCACCCGAGACUCAGUGAAAUUGAACUCGCUGUGAAGAUGCAGUGUACCCGCGGCAAGACGGAAAGACCCCGUGAACCUUUACUAUAGCUUGACACUGAACAUUGAGCCUUGAUGUGUAGGAUAGGUGGGAGGCUUUGAAGUGUGGACGCCAGUCUGCAUGGAGCCGACCUUGAAAUACCACCCUUUAAUGUUUGAUGUUCUAACGUUGACCCGUGAUCCGGGUUGCGGACAGUGUCUGGUGGGUAGUUUGACUGGGGCGGUCUCCUCCUAAAGAGUAACGGAGGAGCACGAAGGUUGGCUAAUCCUGGUCGGACAUCAGGAGGUUAGUGCAAUGGCAUAAGCCAGCUUGACUGCGAGCGUGACGGCGCGAGCAGGUGCGAAAGCAGGUCAUAGUGAUCCGGUGGUUCUGAAUGGAAGGGCCAUCGCUCAACGGAUAAAAGGUACUCCGGGGAUAACAGGCUGAUACCGCCCAAGAGUUCAUAUCGACGGCGGUGUUUGGCACCUCGAUGUCGGCUCAUCACAUCCUGGGGCUGAAGUAGGUCCCAAGGGUAUGGCUGUUCGCCAUUUAAAGUGGUACGCGAGCUGGGUUUAGAACGUCGUGAGACAGUUCGGUCCCUAUCUGCCGUGGGCGCUGGAGAACUGAGGGGGGCUGCUCCUAGUACGAGAGGACCGGAGUGGACGCAUCACUGGUGUUCGGGUUGUCAUGCCAAUGGCACUGCCCGGUAGCUAAAUGCGGAAGAGAUAAGUGCUGAAAGCAUCUAAGCACGAAACUUGCCCCGAGAUGAGUUCUCCCUGACUCCUUGAGAGUCCUGAAGGAACGUUGAAGACGACGACGUUGAUAGGCCGGGUGUGUAAGCGCAGCGAUGCGUUGAGCUAACCGGUACUAAUGAACCGUGAGGCUUAACCU